rnacentral:rRNA from 1 species
AUUGAACGCUGGCGGCAGGCCUAACACAUGCAAGUCGAAUGGUAACAGGAAACAGCUUGCUGUUUCGCUGACGAGUGGCGGACGGGUGAGUAAUGUCUGGGAAACUGCCUGAUGGAGGGGGAUAACUACUGGAAACGGUAGCUAAUACCGCAUAACGUCGCAAGACCAAAGAGGGGGACCUUCGGGCCUCUUGCCAUCAGAUGUGCCCAGAUGGGAUUAGCUAGUAGGUGGGGUAACGGCUCACCUAGGCGACGAUCCCUAGCUGGUCUGAGAGGAGGACCAGCCCACCGGGAAAGGAGAAACGGCCCAGCCUCCCACGGGAGGCAGAGGGGGGUAAUUUUGAAAAAGGGGCGCAAGCUUGAUGCAGCCAUGCCGGGGGUAUGAAGAAGGCCUUCGGUUUGUAAAGUACUUUCAGGGGGGAGGAAGGGAGUAAAGUUAAUACCUUUGCUCAUUGACGUUCCCCGCAAAAAAAGCACCGGCUACCUCCGU